rnacentral:RNase_P_RNA from 1 species
GAGGAAAGUCCGGGCUCCACAGGGCAGGGUGGUUGCUAACGGCAACCCGGGGUGACCCGCGGGACAGUGCCACAGAAAACAGACCGCCCGGCCUUAACGGUCGGAUAAGGGUGAAACGGUGGUGUAAGAGACCACCAGCGCCUCGGGUGACCGGGGCGGCUCGGUAAACCCCACCCGGAGCAAGGCCAAGAGGGAGCCGCGAGGCUCCUGCGCAGGCGAUCGAGGGCGGCCCGUCCGAUGCCUGCGGGUAGGUCGCUCGAGCCUGUCGGCGACGGCAGGCCCAGAUGGAUGGUCGCCCAUCGCCCGCCGCGAGGCGGGCGUGGACAGAACCCGGCUUAG